CCUACGGGCGGCAGCAGUGAGGAAUAUUGGUCACUGGGCGCGAGCCUGAACCAGCCAAGUAGCGUGAAGGAUGACUGCCCUCCGGGUUGUAAACUUCUUUUAUAAAGGAAUCAAGUGAGGCACGUGUGCCUUUUUGUCUGUACUUUAUGAAUAAGGAUCGGCUAACUCCGUGCCAGCAGCCGCGGUAAUACGGAGGAUCCGAGCGUUAUCCGGCUUUAUUGGUUUUAAAGGGAGCGUAGAUUGGUUGUUAAGUCAGUUGGGAAAGUUUGCGGCUCAACCGUAAAAUUGCAAUUGAUACUGGCAGCCUUGAGUACAGUUGAGGUAGUCGGAUGUCGUGGUGUAGCGGUGAAAUGCUUAGAUAUCACGAAGAACUCCGAUUGCGAAGGCAGCUUACUAAACUGCCACUGACAUUGAUGCUCGAAAGUGUGGGUAUCAAACAGGAUUAGAUACCCGAGUAGUC
rnacentral:rRNA from 1 species